rnacentral:lncRNA from 1 species
CUACUUUGAAGUGAUUAUGAAAAAAUAAGAAGGCUUCUGCCAGGAGAUUUGAGAAGGAACAAGUUUAGAGGAGACACUCUUGUUUCCAAGGAGUGAGGCUCCUCUUGAAGCUGUGUGACAGUGCAGAUCCUGGCACAGAAAGAGUGGUGCAGGGGCCCUUGCUUGGCGCCUUUUAUUUUGUUCUGUGCCAGCACCAUGCUGUCUUCUGCUCUGCCCAGCAAGCUCAUGGGCCACCUGGGAUUCCCGUCACUCAGUGCCCAGAAUCCUGGGGCCACAUUGUGACUGCAUCUCCAUUGUGACUUUACAUGAGGACAUUGCCUUAGUGUUUGGGAAGAGACGCUUUCUGCUUCUUAUUCCACCACAGGCUUUCUGUGUGGGCAUGGACAAGCCAUUAGAGGCUCUAGGCCUCUGUCGUGUUUCAUAUGUUAGAGGCCGGGGCUCCUUUGAGCUCCACAUUUUCAUGAAUGUGUGAAUCUUGUGAGUCAGAAGUCUGACUCAGGGACUGAGCACUUGAAGCUAAUCUCUGUAUGCUUUGCCUCAGGAAGAAAGACCAAGGACCUAAGCAAGAAAUGAGAAUGGGCAGGAGGCCCAAUGUGCUCUGUGAAGGGGGUUGGAUUCAAACAGAUCUGACUGCAAGCCAGCUACACAAUAUAAUAGCUCUGAACUCAGGGUCCUUGCUCUCCCCAAGCCUCCAUUUCCUCUUUGACAAAGUUGGACCAUGAUACUUACCUCAGAAUCAGCUCUGAAGAUUAAAGGAGAAGAUGUUGGGCAACGUGUCAAACACUGUGCCGGGCACACAAAGUGCAGAAGAAAGGUUAAUUUCCAUCCUACCCCUGUUCCUCCCCAUCUCCUUGAGGUGUCAGAAUUGAAGUCAUAAAAGGAGAAAGCAAAAUCAGUAACCAGUAGCAGAAGACGGGGAGUUAAGGAGAAAAAUGAGAAGCCAUCUGACUUCAUUAUGAUAGAGAAUUUUGCUCUUUUGAAGGCAGCUUUGGGAAGAUGAGAUCCAUAUGUUCUUCUUCAUCUAUGGUAGAAUUUCUUGAAGAUAUCAGAACCACAACGAGAGAGUAGUACCUGUAUUAGCCACUGCUCACUGAGCCAAGUUGUGGACUUACUGAUACACUUAGACCAGCUCUACACCCAACAAUAGCUUGGCACUGCCUUCAUAAAGAAACAUGCCAAAACUGAGAUACCCAAGAAGGAAUAAAGCUGGGAUUGGAGCUGUUUGAUUCUAACACUACCUGGGUGGUAUUCACUAGUCCUACUGUACCUCUGUUAAAUACAUACUGCACAACCACAAUAAUCUUUUGAGUGAAUUGCAAGCUAACCCUUUGGCUUUAUGUGGGGGCUUUACCUAAAAUGGAUUCUGGUGGAAAUGGCAGUUCCCUUUUGCAUGCCCCAAAUCUGGCACACAGUAGCUGCCUUCUUACUGAGUACCAAACAUAUAAAUAGACAAUGAGAUAAAUCAAACUUAAAUAGGCCACCAGGGUAAAACCACACCUCACCCAAAGACAGAGCCAAAGUACGUGCCCUUCCUCACUGCCUGCAAAUGCCAUCUGGUCAGAGGAGCUCAGCACCUCUGUCCAGGGCUUGAGAGCAGGAAAUGAAGGUCAACUUCCUGUCAUGGAGGCAGAGAAUAUUCCAUAAACCACACUUAAUUUCCAAGGUGAGUUUUGACCUGAACAUGAGAGUGAUCUCUCACAGGUGCAUGAAGUUUUCAAGAAUGGAUGCAGAGCUGACCCUCACUCACUUUUCUACUCACAGCCAAUGGAUCCAUGUUGGCCAACCUGAUGUUAGGCAGCUUUUUCGGUGGACCUGCCGUCUAG